rnacentral:sRNA from 1 species
UGAGAGAGAGAGAGAGAGAGAGAGAGAGAGAGAGAGAGAGUCA